UACGGGGGGAGCAAGCGUUGUUCGGAUUUACUGGGCGUAAAGGGCGCGUAGGCGGUCGUGACAAGUCACUUGUGAAAUCUCCGGGCUUAACUCGGAACGGUCAAGUGAUACUGUCGGACUAGAGUACAGAAGGGGCAACUGGAAUUCUCGGUGUAGCGGUGAAAUGCGUAGAUAUCGAGAGGAACACCCGUGGCGAAGGCGGUUCUCUGGGACGGUACUGACGCUGAGACGCGAAAGCGUGGGGAGCGAACAGG
rnacentral:rRNA from 1 species